GCCAAAAUAGCUCAGUUGGGAGGGUGUUAGACUGAAGAUCUAAAGAUCUCUGGUUCAUCCCCAGGUUUUGGCA